rnacentral:tRNA from 1 species
GGUGGCCUAGUGGUAGAGUGCUUGCCUUGCAUGCAUGAGGCCCUGGGUUCGAUUCCUCAGCACCA